rnacentral:tRNA from 1 species
UCCUCCAUAGUUCAGUCGGUAGAACGGCGGACUGUUAAUCCGUAUGUCACAGG